UAUUAGAGGAAGAGUAAUGUUCACGCUGCGCUGUUGUAACUGAUCAGCGCCGCGCUGUCAGUUCGGUGGCGCUGGUAAAUACGUCCUCUCUGCACUGUCGAGUCGGUCGCGCAGCUCGGUCCAUUGAGCCGCGCCGAUGACCGGUCAGCGCUGCGCGAACACUUUAAUACCGCGCUGUUUCGUCCCACAUUUGGGCUGUUUGGCUUCCCAUAGAUAACGGCAAAUCAGCGUCUUUUCCUUAGUGUCUACUGCAGGAUGGAUAUAAAAGUAUAAAAUAACCUACUUUUUGGUUUGACAACAUCAUUAAUAUGUGUAUCACAAUUAAAGCACAAAGACAUAACAACAUUACACCCCAAGACCGUUCACAAGUUAGAGAAAAGAGAAGAAACAGUUUCCAGAAGAGAAGUUCAUCAGGCGAGUUGGAGCGUUUACUUUGUCGAGUCAUCCACUUUAGCGGAGAGUGUCAACCCAUUGAAAAGUGUUCAGCGUACAGUGUACCCCUCUUUGCAACAGAGGAAGCGUGAGAAGAGAGACGGUGAAAAGGCACUCAACAGAUGUUGGUGAGAUUUAAUUUCUGGAAAUGCAUUAAAGGAAAAUGCACUGGUAACAACUAAAAAAGGAAGACCAAAAAUAUAAUUCAACAGAAGAUGAUGACUGUGGUGAAACAAGUGCUCAAAAAAAGGAACUAAGACCUGUGGGAGUGCUGGAGAACUCAAGUGUACCAAGUCCUGUCUCCUCAGCCAUAAAUGCAAGGGGUAGUUGCAUGGACUAUCAGUGGAGCGACAGAAAGCUCUGAGAUUUCAUUAUAAAGAUCUUCAUUUGUUCUGAAGAAGAAAGAAAGACUUGUAGGUUUGGAACGACAUGAGGGUGAGUAAUUGAUGACAGAUUUGGGUGAACCAACCUUUUAACUUCUUUUACCUGGAGUGUUCAAAGACAUUGAGUACCUUUACAUGGACAACAAUAAUCCAAUUUUAACACGAUUAAGACAAUACUCUGAUUAAGAAUCUACCAUGUAAACAGAGAUUUUUGAUUAACUUAAUCUGACUUAAGUAAAAUUUGAAGUAAACAGAAAUUGAAUUAAGACAUUAAAAA